rnacentral:rRNA from 1 species
GAUGAACGCUGGCGGCGUGCCUAAUACAUGCAAGUCGAGCGAACGGACGAUAAUCUUGCUUCUCUGAUGUUAGCGGCGGACGGGUGAGUAACACGUGGAUAACCUACCUAUAAGACUGGGAUAACUUCGGGAAACCGGAGCUAAUACCGGAUGAUAUUUUUAACCGCAUGGUUCAAAAGUGAAAUACGGUCUUGCUGUCACUUAUAGAUGGAUCGGCGCUGCAUUAGCUAGUUGGUAAGGUAACGGCUUACCAAGGCAACGAUGCAUAGCCGACCUGAGAGGGGGAGAGGCCACACUGGAACUGAGAGCCGGUCCAGACUCCUACGGGAGGCGACCGUAGGGAAUAUUCCGCGAUGGGCGCAAGCCUGGCGGAGCGACGCCGAGUGAGGGAUGAAGCUCUUCGGAUCGUAAAACUCUGUUAGUAGGGAAAAACAUAUGUGUAAGUGACUGUGCACAUCUUGACGGUAACUAAUCAGAAAGCCACGGCUAACUACGUG